rnacentral:rRNA from 1 species
AUACCGAGGAGUACAAUCACAGCAGACAGACGGCGGGUGCUAAGGUCCGUCGUCAAGAGGGAAACAGCCCUGACCGCCAGCUAAGGUCCCUAAGUUACGGUUAAGUGGGAAAGGAUGUGGGAAGGCCAAGACAACCAGGAGGUUGGCUUAGAAGCAGCCACCUUUUAAAGAAAGCGUAAUAGCUCACUGGUCUAAUUAAGAGUUCCCGCGCCGAAGAUGUAUCGGGGCUAAAGUUAUCUACCGAAGCUUAGGGCGUAUUUAUACGCGGUAGCGGAGCGUUCUGUAAGCCUGCGAAGG